rnacentral:rRNA from 1 species
AUGUCUCCAGUAGCUGGCACAAACGGAGGAGCAAUUGGCGGUGCUAAAACAAAGGCCGUUUUCGUGGCAAUAGUUGUCUUAUUUGCCAGAACCGCGCAUGGGGAGGAGAGAGCAUGGGAGCAUGACGUUCGGACUCAAGAGCACACAGAGCUACUCGAUACAUGGCACAACCAUGUGAUCGAAACUGUCGAAGAAGGGUUCCGCAUGAAAGUCGGCGGCCUUUGCGAUGUCAUGGCUCCGCAGCGGGAGCCUGAAGACAAGGAGACGGUGCCGCCGGCCACCUGGAUCAAACCCACACUGAAGGGGCGAGGGAACGACAAGGUUACGUUAUGGUUCGCCAACGACAACCUCUACUUCCUCGCCUACAAUAAUUUGACGAACAAGCUCCAUACGUCAAAAGGGUACGAUGCCAUAUUUGUCGAGCCGUUUUAUCCACUUCCCUUUGGCCCAAGCUAUAGAGACCUCAUGGGAGUACACAAAGGACCCGACGGAAAGAACAUACCUUCCCAUAAGUUUCUAGUUGGCGUUCCACUUGGCAAAGAGUCGCUCCUAGAUGCGAUUCACGUCCUCUCGUCCUACGACCCUACUUCAACUUCAACCCCCGUCGGCGACCUAAAAAUAGCAAUGGCCCAAAUUAUACUCAUGGGACCGGAAUCCUUACGAUUCCGUCCCGUACGCGACGCAUAUAUUCUGCAAUGGGGGAGGGGAGAAACAUACUUGACUGAGAAGGUGACAGAUUAUUUGGUUAAGUGGUCAGAGAUUAGUAAAGUAUUGGUGUGGUGGGAAUGGGCGGGCAGGAGAGAUUUUUGGGAUCCCAAGGAGGCUGGGGAGUUGGCCGAUGAACUUGACAUCGAGUCUCCGGAGGGGGCGCUCGGAUUAGUAGACUUACUACUUCGACCUGAGCCUAGAUGA